GGGGCUGAUUCUGGAUUCGACGGGAUUUGCGAAACCCAAGGUGCAUGCCGAGGGGCGGUUGGCCUCGUAAAAAGCCGCAAAAAAUAGUCGCAAACGACGAAAACUACGCUUUAGCAGCUUAAUAACCUGCUUAGAGCCCUCUCUCCCUAGCCUCCGCUCUUAGGACGGGGAACAAGAGAGGUCAAACCCAAAAGAGAUCGCGUGGAAGCCCUGCCUGGGGUUGAAGCGUUAAAACUUAAUCAGGCUAGUUUGUUAGUGGCGUGUCCGUCCGCAGCUGGCAAGCGAAUGUAAAGACUGACUAAGCAUGUAGUACCGAGGAUGUAGGAAUUUCGGACGCGGGUUCAACUCCCGCCAGCUCCACCA
rnacentral:tmRNA from 1 species